rnacentral:rRNA from 1 species
CCCUUAGAUGUUCUGGGCCGCACGCGCGCUACACUGACGAAUGCAACGAGCUUAUAACCUUGGCCGAAAGGUCUGGGUAAUCUCCAAAUUUCGUCGUAAUGGGGAUAGAUUAUUGCAAUUAUUAAUCUUCAACGAGGAAUGCCUAGUAAGCGCAAGUCAUCAGCUUGCGUUGAUUACGUCCCUGCCCUUUGUACACACCGCCCGUCGCUCCUACCGAUUGAAUGGUCCGGUGAAGCGUUCGGACCGUGGCCUUUGGACGGUUCGCCGUCUGUUGGCUGCGGGAAGUUCGUUAAACCUUAUCAUUUAGAGGAAGGAGAAGUCGUAACA